rnacentral:tRNA from 1 species
AACAUGUAUGGGUGGCAGUGUCCGGCACAAAGAAUAGUUUGAAUUAGAAUCCUAGCUUUGGGAGUUAGGG